ensembl:lncRNA
AAAGGAAAAAAAAGGGGACAGUUAAAGCAAAAUGAGUUUCCUUCACCAGUUAUAUAAGGACAAGUAUGUAGGUUGCUCUGAAAGUAAUGCCUCCUCUUUAUUUCCAUGGGAACAACAGCAGCUACAAAAAGUGCAGCAAUGCUAUUUGAUGAAGUAAAUUCUCAGCUACAAAAUGCAUUUUUUUUUUCAGCACAGUCAUCUCCAUUAGCUAUUCGUUUUCACCAGCAAUAAGCAAGAGCCUGCAUGCCAUGCCUGUAAAAAUCUGCAUGGCUGUCUGGAAUGUGUCUUGCCUUUCAAAUCACUGUCUCCACUGCUGAAAUGCACCACCUACCACUCACUGUGCUCACAUCCACUGUCUGGUCCUCAUAAACAUUCAGCAAAAGUUGAUGAAUAUCAAUGGGUGCAAAUUUUUCCACAUGGAGGAAUUCAGCGACACACCUUUGCUUUCUGUGCACUUCCACGUCAGAUGCCAUUGUGUCACACUGCCCCUCCACUGCCAUCUGUUGCAUGGCAACAACAUUGGUGAGAAUGUUCAACUUCUACUGUCACAUCACCAACAUCCACCUCUGAAAUCGUAAGCCAACAUAAUAAAAUAGGAGGCCAUACUUUUGGAACAUCCCUUGUAGAUAGGUGGUUACCAGUAUACUGAGGAAAUUGAUGUACUUGGUAGAAAAUCUGUCUGUUAAGAAAUAGGAAUGAAAAUUCAAUUAACAGACAUUUAACAUGGUUGGAACAGUGAAGUUGCUUUUGCAUUUAUCUGAAGAACAAUUAUAGGGGAAGUUGAUUGAGAAAGCAGUAAAUGCAACAGAGAACAGUUUACCAAAUGGGGGUGGGGAGAGGAAAGGGAGGGAAGAGGUUAAAUAAGAUCAGGGAAGUCACCCGAAUGACACACAGCCAUAGGUGUUAAGCAUACAGAUACUGAAUAAUUCUCUCCUUCUGAUGACUGUUUGAAAAUCAACUGAGGGAAGCUGUGGAAAUACUGAAAUAUGGAAGGUAAGGAAAUAUAAUGCUGCUUUUCUAUAAAUGGAAAGUAGACCAAUUCUAGUAAGACACAAGCUAUAUAUCUGGAUCCCAUUGUUCUCCAAAUGGUGGAGCCCACCGGGAGAUCCCUCCUUUGCCCUCUGUCUUUCUCAAGGAGAAAGGAAGGAGUACCUCUGCCUUUGAAGACCAAGCUUCCAUUCAGUGAUGCAUAAGCUUUGGUGUAAGUGCUUACUUGGAUCUACCCCCUUGAGAAUAAUUUCUGAGUAUCUCAACCCAGGCUCUUGGCAAUGGAAAAGAAACACGCGGAUACACAGGAGGAAGAGAUGAAUGGGAUAUAAAUACUAUUUUGCUUGAUUUUGAACAUCUAAGAUUAGCACAGAAAAUGCAGAUGAUUUGAAAACUCAUGGAGUGAAAAUAUAGUGGUACAGCACAUCACAGUUUCAAGAGUAAAGCUAAAAAUCUGCAGCAAUAUUAAAAAAAAAAAAAAAAGAAAGAGCAAAAAUAAAAAUAACCCAAUUCUUCAGGCAGGAUGCCAUUGAUUUUGUGUUCUGUAUGCUGAAUAAACAGGGGAGAUACAACAGAAAUCAUGAGAUUCAUCUGCUAUUUUUAAUAUACAGCAAUGAAUUUUCAUCCUUAAAGUGCCCCAGUGGGGGGUAGAUAUGAAUGUGGAAUAAAGGGAUGCACAGAUAUUCAGAAUGAUGAACAGCUCAACAAAAACAUGCAAUCUACUGGCAUUAUGAAAAAUAUCAGGAUAUUAUUAAUUGUGGUAAUUUUUUCCUGUUUCAAGAGAGAGCUCUUCUCUAUUGGGAAUGUAAAUAUCCUCACUGCAGCUUUAUUAAAGGGUUUCAUAAACUAAGUUUCAUUAAAGGGAAGAUCUGCAGCAUUUCAUCAUGCCUCUAAUGUCUCGUUUGGACAGAUCUGCUCCUUGAUCUAAGCUUCUGAUACUUUUAUAUACCUGAUUCAGGGAAGCAUUUGUUUAUUCAGAAGUAACCCUUAGUAUUAACUGUAGACAUAAGCGAUUUUCUAAAUGGGAGAGGCCUCAAAGAUGUAUUUAAAUUCUUGCUUGGCUCUGGGGUUGCUUGCAGCCCUUUCUGGUGCUGUGAGACAAAACAACUGUCUCUAUUACUGAGGUGUGAGCUGUGGACUGUCAUAAUUUUAGCUGGAGGUGCCCUUCACACUUAUAUUCUGAAUACCCUUGCAUACCCGGAGCCCAGAGCUAAUGGAACCUAGCCUUUACUAGGUUUGUUUCCUUUUCUUUUCACCUAAGGGUGUAUGAAAAAAAAAAAAAAAAAAAAAAAAAAAGCAUGCAUACAUAUUUUUUGAUUGGCUAUUGAAGAAAAGUAAGUAUGUAUAGGUCUGUCUUGGGAGCAACUACGUGUUGAGGGAAUAGCGCUGUUCUCAGGAGGAGACUUUCAUUCCGUAGUGCUCUGCUCCCAUGGAGUAACAGAACUGACCUCUGCUGAGCCAGAUUUCCCUGCCUUGAAUUCCAAAUUCCCCUUCCUUGAAACCAGUAGCAAAACCCACUGGGUAUAUCAACCAGCAUGCAUGCAAAAUAAUUUAUACCAGUUUUACUUCUGUCUGUGAUAUCCCUUUCUUAUGGAAUCACAAAUGUGGAGAAAAAGAAGCUUAAUCUAUCCUUUGGUAUCCUGAUCUGUUGGAACCCCCCUAAAACGUAUGAGGACAGAUUGGAGUGAAAAGGAAGCUGUAUCUUAUUGGUGCUAAACUAGCAUAACAUUCCCGAAUGGUUUUUUUCGCAACUAAAAUGCAGUGGAGGAUGUGGAGUCCAAUCUAGAGGACAAAAUUCACCCCCAUUGGCAAGCUGGUGAAUGCCAAAACUCUCUGCUCUCUUGAGGCACCGCCUGCGUCAGGAGGAGGUAAGGGACGUUGCUGUCAGAUUAGGCUGACAUCUGCUGGGGAGAGCCCCAAGGCAGGGAGGCAGUGGAGGCCCAGGCUACCAGCCCAGCUGAUUGAAGGCCAACCCUGCUCUGAGGCUCAGAGCAGGCUGGGGGAACCCACCUGUGGGGUAUGGGGUCCUCCUGCUGCAGAAGACUGGACCCUGGCAGCCAUGCAGACAAGUUCAGGGAAGGGGGACACCUCUGCUUUUGUCUCUCCUUUUUCUCUAAUUUCCCUUCCACUUGCCAUCUCUUGUUCUCCUUGAAGUGUUUCUCCCUCAGCCACAGGAAACCUCACCCACUCUACCUAUUUUUGCCCACUGGCAUGUGGGCAGGUAUACCUGCCCUGUAUGCCUUAGCUCAGCACUGCAUCAUGGAGCAAGCACUUUUGUUCAGAGCUCUUUUUAAAGGUAAUAAUAAUAAUAAUAAUAAAAAAAAAAGAGAGAGAGAGAGAAAAAAAAAAGAAAAAGAAAAAAAAGAAAGAGAGAAGAAAAGAAACACGCACUCUGAAGCCUGAAUAGCAGUGUUUCUGUCAUCUGUUGUCAUGACACACAGCUGACGUGGGAACACGACAGUAAGGUUGACUGCUAGAUGGGUUUAAUUUUGGUGCAGAAAUUUGCUAGAAGAAGCUUUCAAAAAUAUCUCUGGGUGGGAGGAAAACAGGUGGGUGCUGGUUGUGUGUACGUAGCAGGAGGAAAUAGUUGUCAAUCUUACCCAAGCAUUACUCCACAUCCAUCAGCCCUUUGGUACCCUCUCUACUCAAUGAGGGAAACAAGUGAUGCUGUAUCUCGUUGUUCCUCUCUCCUGCUACUUUUGGAGAAAGUGCUGGUGGAACAGAGUGCAGAGAGAGAACAUAGAAUGAUUGAAUAGCAACAUGGUUGGCUUGGUCAAAGUACACAUUGUUUGCUCUAUCUUGGUAAAGACAUCCGUACUCAGCACAGGAAGACAAUGUCAGUAUCAUCCAUUGAAGCCAAAUAAUGGUGAGAUCCUUUCAGGAGAGACUUGUGGGCAACUGAGUCUGAAAUGACAGCUAAUGUUGGAGAAUGGCCCUCAUGGUGAGUAGUGAAUGAUCUGUAGGAAAACCGAGAUGUAGUUUCUGUGGUUGUGGUUGUCCAUCUGGGUGAGUGAGUGGACUCAGUAUCAUGGGUGGACUUCUCAGCACUGUGUUUUCAUUUCCCAUACACAUCUUUGUUUCAAAAAGGUCUCAUUUUUCCCCUUCAGUAUCUGUAGGCAAUUCAUACUGGCUUCUAGAUGUUCCUAAGCAGUCACAGACUUUGCUGGCUACCAAAGAACGUAGGUGUCCAGAAAUAUUCUCUAAAAAUCACUCUGCUAACCCAUUUGAAGCUCAUUUUCCUCUUCUACAAACUACUCUAUAUUAGCACAUUUCUCAUCUCUUAGUCUUUGUCAUCUUGACUAAUGACUUUACUCAUCUGUACUAGUUUACUCACUCGUUUCAAUACUUUGCUAGAUCACAGGAACAUUUUGUGACUUAAUUAAAUUAUCAGUUAGAGCUCAGAGGUCUUUGAAUGAAAACUGUUAUGUUCUGUAACAGCAGAAUACUAUGAUUACAGUUCUGGAAAACAUACUACAGUGUAGAGACUUCAUUUCUCUUUCAUAUUUGCUGUUUGGACAUUGGCAGAAGUGAUGGUGGUGAGACUGGAGCUGAAGACUCCAACCUCAACUCUGAGCAAAAAGCUUGGAAAAAAAACCAUUGUUUGAGACAGAGAAGAUUGAAAGAAAACCAUUGCAAAUCAUUUGUAUGAACUGAUAAAAGCAGGGAAGGAAGAGAAAGAGCUUUGGAGAGGAGACGUGGAGGAAGAGGACACAAGUCUGUGUCUUGCAUCAUUUGCUGGUCAAUUAUGAGCAUUUCCUUCAUUGUCUACUCAUUGUGAAGAAUAGCAGUGCCCCAUUCUGCAGGUUCUGAAGCCGUACUCCAUCUUCUCAGCACCACUGGAACACCUCUUCACUUGUGCACUUCACAAAUUGCUGCAUGCCCUGCCAUCACAGAGUUAAUUUAACCAGCUGUUAAAAUGACUGUUAUAUUAGUAUUUUUCACCUAUGUGGUAUUACUUAAAAAGCUGAUGAUUAAAAAGAAGGUGAAAGAACAGGCUGAAAUAGUAAUUCACAGUGCAAAAAUGAUGAAGUGAUGAAGAAAUUAUAGCUUGUGAAGCCCAAAAAAGCCAAUCAGACCACCUACUGGACUUGUGACAGUUUCAUUAAGAUGAGAGACUGAAGAGAGAGAAAGAUGAUUGGGUUUUAAAAAUUGGUCUCCUGACAUGGGGGAUGCGGAGAAGCUGGGUUUGCACGUGGUGGCAGUGCUCUCCUGCACUGCUGGCAGCCCUGGCUGUCCCAGAUGCUGCUUCUGCCUGCAGAAGAUGGAGGGGGAGUGUGGGCUCUGGGGCUCAUUUUCUGCCUAAUAUUUUCUUAAUUCAUUUUAAAUACUCCUCCUCUGCACUCAUGGAGCUCUGCUAUUUUACAGCUUUUAUUAUUGUAUGAAGUUUCUCUUUGAAAAGAAAGAGAAGAAAGGAGGCACUGGAAAUGGCUGAACAUGUUUCUAUUUCAGAACGGUGGGAGCCUCUGUUAUUCAGUGUCCCUUGAGAUUACGGAUAGAUGGUGGAGAAGAUGUGAAUGAGACCAUAUUUGAUAGUUCAUUUCUGGCUGGCACAGCACUGCCACUCAUGGACCAUCUCCCUCCCUUCCUCCCUCCCUUCUUUCCUUCCUUCCUUGGUUCGUUCAUUCCUUCCUUGCUUCCUUCCUUCCUCUCAACUCUGUCACCAUCUGUAGUGUUUCUUUGCAGUAUGUUGCAACACAGACCUACUGGUCCUACUGCAGAUGUCGGAAGUUAGUGUAUAGUUUUAUUGUUAUCUGUAGAACAGCAGUGGGAACAUGGCUUUGUCAACUCAGUUUUGUUGUGGUUCCAUAGCAUUAACUGCCUUUCUCAAAGCUUCUGUCUGAAUUCCUAUGGCAUGCCAAGAACCUCAUCUUUUGUUCAUGUUAUGAAAGGAAUGUGUGGUUUUUCUGGUGGUGUGGAAGAACUUGACAGUGUGAACAAAACAAGGAUUUUGACAGAAAAAAAACAAGUUUUCUUUUGUCCAAGAAAACGCAAGGCGCUGUUGACCAGAUUUUUGCUGACCUCUAAUGGUCAACAUGGAGUGAAUUUCCAUAAUAAAGCAUUAAUGAGUGUGGACAAGAUUAGCACUAGAGUUGUCUCUGCUGCAAUAGCAUAGGCACAUUCUUGGCUUAACAAAAUAAAAUGUGGGAGACUGAGCAGCUGCUCCUUCACUGCACAGUGCACCAUGGUUGAAAGAACUGUGUAAUCAAAGGAAAAUAAUGAUGUCACUGGGAAAAGAAAAAACAGAAAGUCCAAUAUGACCAUGUUUAAGUACAGGAUGGAAAUAAGACAUCUUCAAAAAUUAGAAUCUGUAAGCUUCGUUAUAGAAGAAGUAGGAAAGGGAAAACAAAUUGUUUUUAAAAUGCAGUUUGACUUGUUCCUGAGAAGAAGGUGAGGUUACUCUCAAGGCUGAGUGACAUAGGACAGACAGCUCUUUAUAUACUCAUACUUGGAGUAUAUUAUGCAUCACAUGAAUUCAUAGUUAAUUAUAGGCCUAGGUGUUAAUUUGGGCCAAAGUACAGAAAUCAUCUUUCUUUAGAUGACCCACAAUAAAAAGUGAGGUUAAUGUGGUUUCUAUGACUAGCUGGGGCUGGUUGUUCAGCAGCAGGUGUUGUUCAUGGAUUUAUGUAUCAGCAGAGAUAAGCCUCACUGUUUUUACAGUUCACUGAACCCGAUCAGCCCAAACUCAGCAACAAAAAAAGACUGUGAAAUAACUUGUAUCCUCUAUUAGAGACAAACAAGCAAGAACAACACCACUUAAGGAAGCAGCAUAAAUAUUGAAUGCAUAGAGAAAUAUGGUCCUUUCUGACAGAAAUGAUGUUGGUUUUAAUUUGUGUUUAUGGCACCUAAAGUAAUGGGCACAUGAAAUAUGCAUGGACAGAGAGAAUCAGGAGAAAAUUCCCCAUGGAAACUAACCACAGUCUGGACUCAGACCACACCUGGACUCAGACCAAAACUUGCAAUGGGAAAAGUGUAGCCAUGAAAAAGAGAUCUCUUGUAGGAGGACAAAAUAAUAAACACUAAGAAAACAUAGUGUAUACCUUUCUCUGGUGCCAGUUGCACUACUGGAAAAUCAAAGCACUGUUUAGGAAACAAUCUCAGAUUUUAAAAUUGCUGAGCGAAACAAGACAGUCUUUAACAUUUGACAUAAUGGAUCAAAAUAUUCUUGGAGGGAAAGAUGCUUCUUGUACUUAAGAAGUUGUGUUUAAAAUACCCGAAUCCCUCUUUCAGGACAAAUUCAAGUCAGUUUCCUCCUAAAUUUAAAGGUAAUAUAUCACAGAAUCAUAGAAUGGCUUGGGUUGGAAGGGACCUCAAGGACCAUGUAUGAUCAGAUUAAAAUAAGAAUGUAGUCCAUCCUCUUGAAUCUUUACCUAGAAAGUUAAGUUCAGUUU